rnacentral:rRNA from 1 species
GGGUUGUGAGGUUAAGCGACUAAGCGUACACGGUGGAUGCCCUGGCAGUCAGAGGCGAUGAAGGGCGUGCUAAUCUGCGAUAAGCGCCGGUAAGGUGAUAUGAACCGUUAUAACCGGCGAUACCCGAAUGGGGAAACCCAGUGUGAUUCGUCACACUAUCAUUAACUGAAUCCAUAGGUUAAUGAGGCGAACCGGGGGAACUGAAACAUCUAAGUACCCCGAGGAAAAGAAAUCAACCGAGAUUCCCCCAGUAGCGGCGAGCGAACGGGGAGGCGCCCAGAGCCUGAAUCAGCAUAUGUGUUAGUGGAAGCGUCUGGAAAGGCGCGCGAUACAGGGUGACAGCCCCGUACACAAAAGCGCAUAUGCUGUGAGCUCGAUGAGUAGGGCGGGACACGUGGUAUCCUGUCUGAAUAUGGGGGGACCAUCCUCCAAGGCUAAAUACUCCUGACUGACCGAUAGUGAACCAGUACCGUGAGGGAAAGGCGAAAAGAACCCCGGCGAGGGGAGUGAAAAAGAACCUGAAACCGUGUACGUACAAGCAGUGGGAGCA